UGCGCAGGCGGUUAUAUAAGACAGAUGUGAAAUCCCCGGGCUCAACCUGGGAACUGCAUUUGUGACUGUAUAGCUAGAGUACGGCAGAGGGGGAGUGGAAUUCCGCGUGUAGCAGUGAAAUGCGUAGAUAUGCGGAGGAACGCCGAUGGCGAAGGCAAUCCCCUGGGCCUGUACUGACGCUCAUGCACGAAAGCGUGGGGAGCAAACA
rnacentral:rRNA from 1 species